rnacentral:lncRNA from 1 species
AUUUUCUUUUUGAAAUAUAAGGUUAGUAAAAUAAACAUGAUAAACCAUGUAAUUUAUCCACUUAAUUUAUUGACUUGAAGACAUUGCAGGCCAAAAAGAGGUCCAAAAUAAUUAAUGUAUUUGUAUGAAAUUUUUAGGGUAUAAAUUCACAGAAUUUUUUUUAAUUCUCGUGUUUUAUAAGAAUUAGGAAUCAAGAUUUACUUGAAAAUCUCGAGAUUUCUCAAGAUGGGAAUCUUGAACACAAUCACUAAUGCUGGUCUCCAUCUUUUCAGAGACGAACAAUCAUCUCUAUAGAACAGCAAUCUUUCUACAAAGAUUAUUAGGUUUUAAGCAAUGCUACAGUCAUUGUAUCUUAGGAAUCAUCAUCAUUUUCCCCAUGAUACUUAGAAUUCACAUGUACACAAGGUCAGUCUCAUUCCAAUCAAUGAAAUUAUCCCUUACAUUGAAUUUCUUUUAUACUGCACAAACUCUGUAUUUGAGAAAAUAGUGGUAAACAGAUGCAAUUAUUUAUCUAAUUAUACCAUGCAACAGUUAUAACUUUUGAUAAAUAAAUUGGAAAAAUAAGCUACUCUAUAUUGAAGAAUAUAUCAAAGCAGUCAUUGAGAGAAAUGUGGAAGGACUGUCAAUAAAU